GAAUAAAGCAUCGGCUAACUCCGUGCCAGCAGCCGCGGUAAUACGGGGGAUGCAAGCGUUAUCCGGAAUUAUUGGGCGUAAAGCGCCUGUAGGUUGUUUGGUAAGUCUGUUGUUAAAGACUAAGGCUCAACCUUAGAAAAGCAAUAGAAACUGCUAGACUUGAGUAUGGCAGGGGUAGAAGGAAUUUCUAGUGUAGCGGUGAAAUGCGUAGAUAUUAGAAAGAACACCGGCGGCGAAAGCGCUCUACUGGACCAUUACUGACACUCAGAGGCGAAAGCUAGGGUAGCAAAAGGGAUUAGAUACCCCUGUAGUCCUAGCCGUAAACGAUGGAUACUAGAUGUUGCAUAUAAUCUUGCAGUAUCGUAGCUAACGCGUUAAGUAUCCCGCCUGGGGAGUACGCUCGCAAGGGUGAAACUCAAAGGAAUUGACGGGGGCCCGCACAAGCGGUGGAGCAUGUGGUUUAAUUCGAUGCAACGCGAAGAACCUUACCAGGGCUUGACAUACUACAAAUCUUUUUGAAAGGAAGGAGUACCUUCGGGGAUGUAGAUACAGGUGGUGCAUGGCUGUCGUCAGCUCGUGUCGUGAGAUGUUGGGUUAAGUCCCGCAACGAGCGCAACCCUUGUUCUUAGUUACCAUUUAUUUAAUGGGUUCUCUAAGAAGACUGCCGGUGACAAACCGGAGGAAGGUGAGGAUGACGUCAAGUCAGCAUGCCCCUUAUGUCCUGGGCUACACACGUGCUACAAUGGUUAAGACAAAGAGUCGCAAGUUUGUAAAGACAAGCUAAUCUCAUAAACUUAAUCUAAGUUCAGAUUGUAGGCUGCAACUCGC
rnacentral:rRNA from 1 species